rnacentral:rRNA from 1 species
CAUGGAGUUUGAUCCUGGCUCAGGAUGAACGCUAGCGGCAGGCCUAAUACAUGCAAGUCGAGGGGUAUAGUUCUUCGGAGCUAGAGACCGGCGCACGGGUGCGUAACGCGUAUGCAAUCUACCUUUUACAGAGGGAUAGCCCAGAGAAAUUUGGAUUAAUACCUCAUAGUAUGUGAGAAUCGCAUGGUUUUCACAUUAAAGUUCCAACGGUAAAAGAUGAGCAUGCGUCCCAUUAGCUAGU